GCUAAUACCGCAUACGAUCUACGGAUGAAAGCAGGGGACCGCAAGGCCUUGCGCGGACGGAGCGGCCGAUGGCAGAUUAGGUAGUUGGUGGGAUAAAAGCUUACCAAGCCGACGAUCUGUAGCUGGUCUGAGAGGACGACCAGCCACACUGGGACUGAGACACGGCCCAGACUCCUACGGGAGGCAGCAGUGGGGAAUUUUGGACAAUGGGCGAAAGCCUGAUCCAGCCAUGCCGCGUGCAGGAUGAAGGCCUUCGGGUUGUAAACUGCUCUUGUACGGAACGAAAAGACUCUGGUUAAUACCUGGGGUCCAUGACGGUACCGUAAGAAUAAGCACCGGCUAACUACGUGCCAGCAGCCGCGGUAAUA
rnacentral:rRNA from 1 species